rnacentral:ncRNA from 2 species
UACGGAGGAUCCGAGCGUUAUCCGGAUUUAUUGGGUUUAAAGGGAGCGUAGAUGGGUUGUUAAGUCAGUUGUGAAAGUUUGCGGCUCAACCGUAAAAUUGCAAUUGAUACUGGCAGUCUUGAGUACAGUUGAGGUAGGCGGAAUUCGUGGUGUAGCGGUGAAAUGCUUAGAUAUCACGAAGAACUCCGAUUGCGAAGGCAGCUUACUAAACUGCCACUGACAUUGAUGCUCGAAAGUGUGGGUAUCAAACAGG